rnacentral:rRNA from 1 species
AGAGCGAACGCUGGCGGCAGGCUUAACACAUGCAAGUCGAGCGGGCGUAGCAAUACGUCAGCGGCAGACGGGUGAGUAACGCGUGGGAACGUACCUUUUGGUUCGGAACAACCCAGGGAAACUUGGGCUAAUACCGGAUAAGCCCUUACGGGGAAAGAUUUAUCGCCGAAAGAUCGGCCCGCGUCUGAUUAGCUAGUUGGUGGGGUAAUGGCCCACCAAGGCGACGAUCAGUAGCUGGUCUGAGAGGAUGAUCAGCCACAUUGGGACUGAGACACGGCCCAAACUCCUACGGGAGGCAGCAGUGGGGAAUAUUGGACAAUGGGCGCAAGCCUGAUCCAGCCAUGCCGCGUGAGUGAUGAAGGCCCUAGGGUUGUAAAGCUCUUUUGUGCGGGAAGAUAAUGACGGUACCCGUAGAAUAAGCCCCGGCUAACUUCGCGCCAGCAGCCGC